rnacentral:rRNA from 1 species
AUCUACAGCCAUGCUACCUUGAAUGCGCCCUAUCCUAUCUAAUCUCAGAAACUAAGCAGCGUCGGGCCUGGUUAGUACUUGAAUGGGAGACCACCUAUAAGACUAGGUGCUGUAGGCA